UGGGGAAUUUUCCGCAAUGGGCGAAAGCCUGACGGAGCGAUACCGCGUGUCGGAUGAAGGCCUUAGGGUUGUAAACGACUGUCGGCGGGGAAGAAAUCAAUGACGGUACCCGCAAAGGAAGCACCGGCUAACUCUGUGCCAGCAGCCGCGGUAAGACAGAGGGUGCAAGCGUUGUCCGGAAUUAUUGGGCGUAAAACGUCUGUAGGCGGUUCAUCAAGUCUGAGGUUAAAUUGCUUGGCUCAACCAAGCCUCGCUUCGGAUACUGUUGAACUAGAGUGCGUUAGGGGUUAUUGGAAUUCCCGGUGUAGUGGUGAAAUACGUAGAUAUCGGGAGGAACUCCAGUGGCGAAAGCGAAUAACUGGGGCGUAACUGACGCUGAGGGACGAAAGCGUGGGGAGCA
rnacentral:rRNA from 1 species